rnacentral:rRNA from 1 species
UACGUAGGGCGCAAGCGUUGUCCGGAAUUAUUGGGCGUAAAGAGCUCGUAGGCGGUCUGUCGCGUCGGCUGUGAAAACCCGGGGCUCAACCCCGGGCCUGCAGUCGAUACGGGCAGACUAGAGUGCGGUAGGGGAGACUGGAAUUCCUGGUGUAGCGGUGGAAUGCGCAGAUAUCAGGAGGAACACCGGUGGCGAAGGCGGGUCUCUGGGCAGUAACUGACGCUGAGGAGCGAAAGCGUGGGGAGCGAACAGG